rnacentral:rRNA from 1 species
GAUGAACGCUGGCGGCGUGCCUAAUACAUGCAAGUCGAGCGAACGGACGAGAAGCUUGCUUCUCUGAUGUUAGCGGCGGACGGGUGAGUAACACGUGGAUAACCUACCUAUAAGACUGGGAUAACUUCGGGAAACCGGAGCUAAUACCGGAUAAUAUUUUGAACCGCAUGGUUCAAAAGUGAAAGACGGUCUUGCUGUCACUUAUAGAUGGAUCCGCGCUGCAUUAGCUAGUUGGUAAGGUAACGGCUUACCAAGGCAACGAUGCAUAGCCGACCUGAGAGGGUGAUCGGCCACACUGGAACUGAGACACGGUCCAGACUCCUACGGGAGGCAGCAGUAGGGAAUCUUCCGCAAUGGGCGAAAGCCUGACGGAGCAACGCCGCGUGAGUGAUGAAGGUCUUCGGAUCGUAAAACUCUGUUAUUAGGGAAGAACAUAUGUGUAAGUAACUGUGCACAUCUUGACGGUACCUAAUCAGAAAGCCACGGCUAACUACGUGCCAGCAGCCGCGGUAAUACGUAGGUGGCAAGCGUUAUCCGGAAUUAUUGGGCGUAAAGCGCGCGUAGGCGGUUUUUUAAGUCUGAUGUGAAAGCCCACGGCUCAACCGUGGAGGGUCAUUGGAAACUGGAAAACUUGAGUGCAGAAGAGGAAAGUGGAAUUCCAUGUGUAGCGGUGAAAUGCGCAGAGAUAUGGAGGAACACCAGUGGCGAAGGCGACUUUCUGGUCUGUAACUGACGCUGAUGUGCGAAAGCGUGGGGAUCAAACAGGAUUAGAUACCCUGGUAGUCCACGCCGUAAACGAUGAGUGCUAAGUGUUAGGGGGUUUCCGCCCCUUAGUGCUGCAGCUAACGCAUUAAGCACUCCGCCUGGGGAGUACGACCGCAAGGUUGAAACUCAAAGGAAUUGACGGGGACCCGCACAAGCGGUGGAGCAUGUGGUUUAAUUCGAAGCAACGCGAAGAACCUUACCAAAUCUUGACAUCCUUUGACAACUCUAGAGAUAGAGCCUUCCCCUUCGGGGGGGCAAAGUGACAGGUGGUGCAUGGUUGUCGUCAGCUCGUGUCGUGAGAUGUUGGGUUAAGUCCCGCAACGAGCGCAACCCUUAAGCUUAGUUGCCAUCAUUAAGUUGGGCACUCUAAGUUGACUGCCGGUGACAAACCGGAGGAAGGUAGGGAUGACGUCAAAUCAUCAUGCCCCUUAUGAUUUGGGCUACACACGUGCUACAAUGGACAAUACAAAGGGCAGCGAAACCGCGAGGUCAAGCAAAUCCCAUAAAGUUGUUCUCAGUUCGGAUUGUAGUCUGCAACUCGACUACAUGAAGCUGGAAUCGCUAGUAAUCGUAGAUCAGCAUGCUACGGUGAAUACGUUCCCGGGUCU